UGCUAAGUGCGGGGCAGGAGCCGAGGGAAGACGAUGGGUGCAAACUGUGCUCGGAAGUAGUGGGCUGAAAGCGCACGUAGGCGGCUUUGCAAGUCGGAUGUGAAAUCCCUCGGCUUAACCAAGGAAGUGCAUCCGAAACUGCAGAGCUUGAGUACGAAAGAGGAUCGCGGAAUUCCCGGUGUAGAGGUGAAAUUCGUAGAUAUCGGGAGGAACACCAGUGGCGAAGGCGGCGAUCUGGGUCGAUACUGACGCUGAGGUGCGAAAGCGUGGGGAGCAAACAGGAUUAGAUACCCGAGUAGUC
rnacentral:rRNA from 1 species